rnacentral:rRNA from 1 species
AUUGAACGCUGGCGGCAUGCUUUACACAUGCAAGUCGAACGGUAACAGGGUGCUUGCACCGCUGACGAGUGGCGAACGGGUGAGUAAUGCGUCGGAACGUGCCGAGCAGUGGGGGAUAACGCAGCGAAAGUUGUGCUAUUACCGCAUACGGACUGAGGUAGAAAGUGGGGGACCUUCGGGCCUCACGCUAAUCGAGCGGCCGGCGUCUGAUUAGAUAGUAGGUGAGGUAAAGGCUCACCUAGGCGACGAUCAGUAGCGGGUCGGGGAGGAUGGUCCGCCACACUGGGACUGAGACACGGCCCAGACUCCUACGGGAGGCAGCAGUGGGGAAUUUUGGACAAUGGGCGAAAGCCUGAUCCAGCCAUGCCGCGUGUCUGAAGAAGGCCUUCGGGUUGUAAAGGACUUUUGUCAGGGAGGAAAUCCCUAGCGUUAAUACCGCUGGGGGAUGACAGUACCUGAAGAAUAAGCACCGGCUAACUACGUGCCAGCCGCCGCAGUAAAAC